rnacentral:lncRNA from 1 species
UUUUUUUUUCUUGUAUUCCUCAGCUUCCAUUUUCUUCCCUACAUCGAUUUCCUCUCAACUGGAUCCACUCAAUCUUUUCACACACCCCUUCAACUCAAAACCCUAGCUCCAGGUCCAGAAUAACAAAGCAAGUAUAUUUCUUAAAGCUCCGACCUGAAUCACCAUCCGAAACUCAACCCGUGACCAGUUAGUUUUUGUCAAAAUGAGUUUUUUGAUUGAAAAAAUCUAUUUAGGGUUUCUGGGCCCGGCCAGAAAUAUUCAGUAAGAAGCGAUGAUGGAGUAAAUGAGAAGAAGUUGAAGACGGCCCGUGAGAGGAAUCUGGACAAGCUUAAGCUUCUUCCAAAGGUAGUCAACUUGAAGCCAGCAAGAAAGCUAUUAAGAUCGAGGUGAGUUGUGUAUGUUUCUCCAAGGUGAUUCGAUCACACUCGCUAAUCGCUAAAGCCGCCAGUCACCACCACUUUGAGUGACUACCAUCGCACCAACGCAUAUGACCUCAGAGUAUCAAGUUUUUUCACCAAUUGUUCCAACCCGAGAAUACUAUUUUGUUAGGUACUGCAAACAACAUACUGACGGGUUAUGGGCCGUGGUUGAUGUAUCUUUGGACAACUUGCACCCUUCCACAACCGCAAGAUCUAGAAGAAGGCCAUUGGGUUGUUUGAUUGAAGAACUUCCAAUGGAUAUUCGAAGGUCACAUGGGUUGAACAUGUUGAAGUCGAUGAUAGAGCUGUUCAUGACAGCUAUCGGUCACUAGUGAAUUCUGGUUUAGCAUUUGGGGCCAGACGAUGGGUAGCAACGCUUGACAGACAAUGUGAACGGCUUGCAAGCGCGAUGGCUAGCAAUAUUCCUUGAGGCGACGUUGGAGGUCGGAGAUGAAGUUUUCCUCAAAAGCAAAAGGCAUUCUAAACUCUACUGAGACUGUAGCAAGAGGAAGGGUCUAGAGCUUGGACCCAAAUGAUCUAUUUGGUGGUACAGAGAUUGGACCAGAAUGGUGUGAGGUAAACGUUAAAGUACCAAUAAAAAAAGAUGAAAACUUGGUAAGAGCAUAUGGUUUAUUUUCUACAAUUCAAGAUUGUAUUGGUGCAUCCAUCGCAUGGCCCUAUCCAUUCAUCUCGGUAGUCUAUGAGGAUUGAGGAUGCAUGAUGACUCAAGAUUUUAUGCUUCUUAUUUCUUUAAUUGCGUUUAAUUUCUUUUUGUUAAUUGUUAAGACUUUAUGUUAGAUAAUGUUAUAACUUAUUUAUGGUUAGUGUUUUUGUUAUGAACAUGCUUAUUUGAAAUAUAAUGAAAUUUUAUUUCUU